GCCUCAGUAGCUCAGCUGGAUAGAGCAACGGCCUUCUAAUCCGUAGGUCGGGGGUUCGAGUCCCUCCUGGGGCGCAA
rnacentral:tRNA from 1 species